AGGGGUAUAGCUCAGUGGCAGAGCACUUGUUUAUCAUGUAGAAGACAUUGAGUUCAAUCCUCAGUACCUCAA
rfam:Mesocricetus auratus contig019441, whole genome shotgun sequence.